CAUCACAGGCCUAGAGGGAGGGGAGCCUCCCAGCAAACAGGGUCAUGUCACCUCCACGAGGUGGAGGCAGCCAAGAGGGAAACUCUGGUGGAAGACAUUAAGGACAGUGAUCAAACCUGUUAUUUUAGAGCUAUAGAAACUCCCAGCUUACUGGAAACAGAAAGAGAGUGAAGAUUAGGCAGAAGAGAAGCAGAGAGUCUGAUGAGAAGGGCAAGAGCUAAACCCAUCAAGCAGCCCUCCCCCUAUGAGGGGCGAUGGAUUUACCCUGUUGCCUGGAGACCUAACUCAAAGAGAGACCCAGAGAGAGCACCCUGGCACUGGUUCUAGAGGGGUUAAGAACGAGUCCUGGAGCGGAUAACUCCUGGAGCAGAUAACAGAGCAGAGUAACCCCAGCAAAGUGAAACCUCAGCUCGAGCUGGAGGGAGAUGACAGGAAGAAGAAGGCAGCGUCUGUGGACCCCCUCCCCAGGCAGGACUUACCUCCUGCCCCAGCACUCAGGCUGCCUCCUGCUGGAUUAAUAUUUCUCAACAUAUAAUUAAAUAUUGUUUUUGUGAUUAAUUAAUAUGUUUAAAUUAUGUUUGAUUUGUAGCAAUGAGAAUACAUAAUGCAUAUCAGGUAUUUACAUUCCAAAUCAUAACUGUAGCAAAAUUACAGUUUUGAAGUAACCACCAAAAUAAUUUUUUGGUUUGGGGUCACUGCAAC